UGGGAAAAUAUUAAAAGCGUAACAAGGUUUCCGUAGGUGAACCUGCGGGAGGGUCAUUACAGUAUUCUUUUGCCAGCGCUUAACUGCGCGGCGAAAAACCUUACACACAGUGUCUUUUUGAUACAGAACUCUUGCUUUGGUUUGGCCUAGAAAUAGGUUGGGCCAGAGGUUUAACAAAACACAAUUUAAUUAUUUUUAUUGAUAGUCAAAUUUUGAAUUAAUCUUCAAAACUUUCAACAACGGGUCUCUUGGUUCUCGCAUCGAUGAAGAACGCAGCGAAAUGCGAUAAGUAAUAUGAAUUGCAGAUUUUCGUGAAUCAUCGAAUCUUUGAACGCACAUUGCGCCCUCUGGUAUUCCAGAGGGCAUGCCUGUUUGAGCGUCAUUUCUCUCUCAAACCCCCGGGUUUGGUAUUGAGUGAUACUCUUAGUCGAACUAGGCGUUUGCUUGAAAAGUAUUGGCAUGGGUAGUACUGGGUAGUGCUGUCGACCUCUCAAUGUAUUAGGUUUAUCCAACUCGUUGAAUGGUGUGGCGGGGUAUUUCUGGUAUUGUUGGCCCGGCCUUACAACAACCAAACAAGUUUGACCUCAAAUCAGGUAGGGAUACCCGCUGAACUUAAGCAUAUCAAA
rnacentral:rRNA from 1 species